ensembl:snoRNA
AGCCUUCAGGUGCUUACCACAGGCUGUGUUCUUACACCGACUGUAUAGAAGGAGGAGGCAAAGUAAACCUACCCCAUAUACACCUCAGCCCAGGCCCUGUGCCUAGUCUGUAUUGUGAAUGGGGACACAUGG